GAGUGAGGAAGCUGAGACCUCAUGCUGCAGCCUACCCUGAAUGGAGAGCUGCACUUCGGUUGCCAGGGUCCCUUGACUGGACACCAGAGCAGAUUUGGAUGCAGAGUCUGACCCACGUCCUGAGAGAAGAGAUUUGGAAGAAACGGGGGGCAUGAUGACAUCUGUUUCAGGUGUAUAGAUGCCAAGUGACCUGAGCAUGGCCCUCAAAUCUUUCAACAAAUGGAGCAACGUGUCAAUCUUAGCGGCAAACGGUUUUGGACCCUUGAACAGAAGUUCCUCUACCGUGGCUUGGAUCUCCCUAGGGAAGCCCGACAGAUGAAACCAGGAGGCCUGGCGCAUUACUAUGGCGGUGGCUAUGGUCAUUGCCGUCGUGUCAGUAGAGUCCAAAGAGGCUUGGAGGGCAGUUCUAGCCAAGAGGAGGCCCUCAGAAAUGAGUGAUGUAAACUGCUCUCUUUUGUCCUUGGGUAUGUAGUCAAUAAAGUCAGAAAAUUUGGAA